GAGAAUAUGGUGUAAUGGCGCACGGCGCGGAUCCGGUAGGUGCAGGUUCGACUCCUGCUAUUCUCA
rnacentral:tRNA from 1 species